UCAUGACCUGAGCAGAAGUCAAGAGUCAGAUACUUAACCAGGUGCCACCCAGAGAUAAGGAAGCCAUGACCUAAGAAGGCUGAGGAUCUUGCCCAAAGCCACAUGACUAGAAAGCCUUUUGCUGUCAUUCAGUGCUGGAAUAGAAAAUAUAACUGGAGUUUUGAAAUAUGAAAUGUAUUAACAUGGUAAGUAUCUAAAUUAUUUUUUUGUGUGUGCUGCAUAAUUUCUAAAUGCCCCCUUGCCCCUCUCUUUUUCUCCUUUUUUUGGUGUUAGAAUAAGAAGGAAAGG